rnacentral:tRNA from 1 species
GCCUGCCUGGCUCAGUUGGAAGAGCAUGAGGCUCUUGAUCUUGGGGUCAUGAGUUCAAGCCCCAUGUUGUGUA